GCUGAGUGAGCGCGCGGGUGGCGCAAGAGGCAAUGGGCAGCCGGUGGAGACUGAGUGGAGAGCGGCGGUGGCAAGGUCGAGAGGUUGGCACCAGCGGCGAGUAGGCAAUUACCGUGACGGGCGAGCGGACGGGGCUUGUAAGUGUCACGAUUGCAUCACAAUUGGAAUAAAGUAAACAAUGCAUACUCGUGUGGCCAUUGACUGAUUUUGUGUGUUGUGUGCUUGUGUUAACAGCCAGCCAAAUCAAUCAGCCAAGGGCCAUUAUGUACGUGAGUGUGUUAGCUGUGGGUAUAUCUGAAGAUUAUUUCUCAACUCGGCAUGUGGGUAGAGACUAAAAAGACAAUGCCAUGGUAGCAUGGCAGACCUGGCAAGUGCUACGAACAUCAUGAUAUUCUUCCUUUUCUUAAUUCCUUGAUUUGAAAAAUAAUUUGCUCUGCGUGUAUAGGAACAUAGCAAUCGGGCAAACAACACUUUGGCAUCUUGAUCUAUCAAGGGAAAUAU
rnacentral:lncRNA from 1 species